rnacentral:rRNA from 1 species
GACGAACGCUGGCGGCGUGCUUAACACAUGCAAGUCGAACGUGAUUUUUGUGGAAAUUCUUUCGGGAAUGGAAAUGAAAUGAAAGUGGCGAACGGGUGAGUAACACGUGAGCAACCUACCUUACACAGGGGGAUAGCCGUUGGAAACGACGAUUAAUACCGCAUGAGACCACAGAAUCGCAUGAUAUAGGGGUCAAAGAUUUAUCGGUGUAAGAAGGGCUCGCGUCUGAUUAGCUAGUUGGAAGGGUAAAGGCCUACCAAGGCGACGAUCAGUAGCCGGUCUGAGAGGAUGAACAGCCACAUUGGAACUGAGACACGGUCCAAACUCCUACGGGAGGCAGCAGUGGGGAAUAUUGCACAAUGGGGGGAACCCUGAUGCAGCGACGCCGCGUGAGCGAAGAAGGUUUUCGAAUCGUAAAGCUCUGUCCUAUGAGAAGAUAAUGACGGUAUCAUAGGAGGAAGCCCCGGCUAAAUACGUG